rnacentral:rRNA from 1 species
UAAUACGGAGGAUGCAAGCGUUAUCCGGAUUUAUUGGGUUUAAAAGGGUGCGUAGGCGGAGAAUUAAGUCAGUGGUGAAAUCUUACCGCUUAACGGUAAAAUUGCCAUUGAUACUGAUUCCCUUGAGUACAGUUGAGGUGGGUGGAAUGUGUAAUGUAGCGGUGAAAUGCUUAGAUAUUACACAGAACACCGAUUGCGAAGGCAGCUCACUAAACUGUUACUGACGCUGAGGCACGAAAGCGUGGGGAGCGAACAGGAUUAGAUACCCUGGUAGUCCGCGCUGUAAACGAUGAUCACUCGUUGUUGGCGAUAUAUUGUCAGCGACUAAGCAAAAGCAUUAAGUGAUCCACCUGGGGAGUACGGCCGCAAGGUUG